rnacentral:rRNA from 1 species
UACGUAGGGUGCAAGCGUUUGUCCGGAAUUAUUGGGCGUAAAGAGCUCGUAGGCGGUCUGUCGCGUCUGGUGUGAAAACUCAGGGCUUAACCCUGAGCUUGCAUCGGGUACGGGCAGACUAGAGUGCGGUAGGGGAGACUGGAAUUCCUGGUGUAGCGGUGAAAUGCGCAGAUAUCGGGAGGAACACCUAGUGGCGGAAGGCAGCUGCGCUGGACGUUA